GUCUAUGGCCAUGUCACCCUGAACAAGCCCGAUCUCAUCUGAUUUUGGAAGCUAAGCAGAUUCGGGCCUGGUUAGUAUUUGAAUGGGAGACCACCUAGGAAGAUCAGGUGCUAUAGGUG
rnacentral:rRNA from 1 species